rnacentral:rRNA from 1 species
GUGUCAGCCGCCGCGGUAAGACGAGGGAUCCUAGCGUUGUUCGGAAUCAUUGGGCGUAAAGCGGGUGUAGGUGGCUUUGUAAGUCAGGUGUGAAAGCCCAGGGCUCAACCCUGGAAGUGCAUUUGAUACUGCUUAGCUUGAGUGUGGGAGAGAUGAGUGGAAUUCCCGGUGUAGUGGUGAAAUACGUAGAUAUCUGGAGGAACACCGGCGGCGAAAGCGGCUCAUUGGCCCAACACUGACACUGAGACCCGAAAGCGUGGGGAUCAAACAGGAUUAGAUACCCCUGUAGUCC